rnacentral:rRNA from 1 species
UUUUUUAUAAAGAAGGCAACACUGCGUGCCUGUAUACACGAUCAGAGAACAUUGCACCUUCUGUCUCGUCGGGGCGUACUGGCGGUCCGGUAGGGGGCGGUGAUUUUAGGUUCGGGAGGUGGUCCGCGGUCGUGGUGGCCGGCAAUGUGAUGUUUGGUUCUUUUGGUAGUAACAAGCGUGGUUGGGUGGGUUGUGUGUCUCGUUUCGUUCUUUGGCGUGCCGUGUUGUGACGGUCAAGGGACGAACUUCACCGCAGGUGUCUAGCCGUACAGCUACCGCCCUCCGGGCAGCCCCUGCUGCCGCAGCGUCGUACCCCCGCCGCCGCCCCCCACGACGUCGAGGUCGCCCUGCGACCUCGAGCACCGCCGCAAGUGCCGCCACACGGAGCGUGAGAUGCCCCACUAUGACAUGGAGUUGAUGGAUAUGCAUGCCACCUCGCCCGCCCUGCCGCACGUAGCCUGCCCUAGGUCGUGCCGUCGGCCCGGCCGCUCCUUCUCCCGGCCGCCUCCCCCCGAGCUGUUCCGCCGCGACCGUCGGUACGGCCACCAGGCUAAGUUCCGCCUCCGCGCACCGCUGCCGUCGCUCCAUUCCCUCCUCACGCGCCACACGGACUCGCGGUACGUCCUGCCGCUGCGCCACGCGCGGAACGGGCCCACGUCCGUGCGCAAGGUACAGCCCACGCAGCUGCAGACCGACACGCGCGUCCGGUGGACGGGGCAGACGGCGCGCGCGGGACGAGAGGGCCAAGGCCGUCGCUUCCUGCCGAGGUUCUCCCGCCUCUGGCGGCCUGCCCUCGGCCUGGACCUCUCGGGCCAUAUCGUACGCACGCAGCGGGGGCUCGACGGCCAUACCGAAUUCCAUCAAUCGACGACGUAUCCACAACGAAGUAGCCGAACAGAAGAACCUUCGCACACCUACCUACCGAUGUCGAUGAUCUACCAAUAGGUGACUCAUGUAUUCAAAACACAAUCGAACGAAGUUAACCCCGGCUACUAGACGCACGUACCGAAGAUACUUAACAUUAGGAUGCCUGAGAACGUAACGACUAUCCACUUCAGGGGGUUUAGUAAAGCAUUCAUUCAAGUAUAAAAGGGGCGUUUUCUUUUUCAUUCAAGUAUAAACUACAUGGGCAUACUAUAACCAGGGGGAAAAGGAUCAACGUCCUUAUCGCUACACCUUACCAACACUGUAUCGGCCCCUGUAGAAAACCACGAUUAAAUGUCCUAACGCUCUGUUUACCAGAAAUCAAUUUGCGUACCAGAUCCGUUAACCUCGUGACAAUCAAUUUAUUGGUUGGUGGAUCAUUAACAUAACGUUAACACCGGUGAGUCCACACUUUUAACACCUACCUACUGGACAUACGUGCCGACUUUCCCUGUGAUGUUAAGGAAGUCACCACUUAUGAUGUAAAAAGUUAGGGUACUCGCUCUCACCGGUCUAUACCUACUCUGAUUCCGAAUAGUCAUAGAAUAUCAUUUC